rnacentral:rRNA from 1 species
CCAUAAUAUUGGGCUAGUUAGACCAGCAGUCGUUACCGCCAGUUCAGAGAUCAAGAAGAGCCACAGCAUUAUCGGAGCGAGGACGAAGAGAGGGUCCUACAUCGUGUACGAUCUCUCGAGUAACUACGAUUUCUCAGGUUCCUCUUCUUACAUUUUGGACGUCCUCCCGGCCCGAACUUCCUGCUCUUUACCCCUCCACCUUCGUUCGUAAUACCUCCCAUACCCUUACCACCCCCCAUGCCAUUGCCACCUCCCAUACCUUUGCCACCACCUAUACCUUUGUUACCCCCUCCGAUACCUUUACCUCCCAUGCCUUUGUUACCACCUCCUAUACCCUCACCUCCACCUAUGGUUGUACCACCUCCUAUGCCUUUGUUACCACCACCCAUACCACCUCCUAUACCUUUAAGAUCCGUACCACCGCCAAUACCGCCACCUCCAAUACCUGGGCCUAUACCGCCGCCAAUACCAAUAGGUCCGUUGCCACCACCUAAACCGCCCCCGAGAUCACCUCCUAUGCCACCACCGCCACCUAUGCCACCUCCACCUCCUAUGCCACCACCGCCGCCUAUGCCACCUCCACCUCCUAUACCACCGCCACCGCCCAUACCACCUCCACCGCCAAUACCGCCUCCUAGUCCACCACGGCCGAUAGGAACUCUGCCGAUACCACCUUCUCCAGUGUUACUUACUCGUCUAUACAUAUAAAUAAAAUGAUUUGUAGACACAACUAUACACUACACGAACUUAUUUUCUAAACAGGAAUACGAGCGUAUAUCCACAUUACAACUCUUUAGCUCGUUCGUUCGGUCCGAACGGAACAGAGGAUACAUACUUUCUCUUAUAUUGAAAACUUAACUAUCACAAACCGAAGGAUCUACCCGAAACCAAUGAUUACUAUUCUAAUUCUCUGAUUAUACACGUGGUCAACAUCAGAACCAAAUCAGGAUUUUGAUCAAAAUCUUGGCCG